GGCAGCACUCACACACCAGCAGCCAUGGAUGACAUCCCCAAGAUGGUCGGAGACAAAGUGGAGGACUUGGUGGAGGACACCAUGAACAAGGUCCUGAGUAAAGAGGGGCAGAAGGUGGAGCAGGAAGGGGUGGAGACGGUGAUGUCGGUGGUCGGAGGGAAGGACGACCCGAAGAAGGGAGGAGGGUUCAAUAUCAAGAACGCCAUCGGCGGCCUCUUUAAAUAGAGACCCUGCAGACCACAUCCUGAACCAGAUCCAGUCCUCCACACCUCCGCCUGCUGACUGCUGGAGAACCAACGCUUUCAAUGUUUACGAAGGAUUUGAAAUUAAAUGAUUAAAUAAAGCUC